AUGUGGCAAUGCCUACUGAGAUUUCCCGCAUUGUUGCUCAGAAGGAUCGAUCAAACCUUUAAGCCUAAACUUCCACCCUUGGGAUUUGGUGGUGCAUCAGGCGCAUCUGGAACGUCGUCUUCUGCUGAGAACUCUGGUGCAGCGCUGCCCAUUCUCGAGUCUUUCCCUACAGGAUCGACUACACCUACUGCACUCCCUCUAGAUGAGAUGAACACUCCUAUCUCUGCGUUCAAAAGCAAAGGGCAGGCCACUAUGCCUAAAACGCCUAGCAAAUCACCGUGCCCAAAAAAUUCUCGGCGCAAGCUUUUCACUACACCUUUGAAGAUCACCGCCGCUGAAGUUAAAGGGGGCUGA
rnacentral:rRNA from 1 species